GACGAACGCUGGCGGCGUGCUUAACACAUGCAAGUCGAACGGUGACGGAGAGCUUGCUCUCCUGAUCAGUGGCGAACGGGUGAGUAACACGUGGGCAACCUGCCCCAGACUUCGGGAUAACGCUUCGAAGGAGGUGCUAAUACCGGAUACGAACUCCUUGGGCAUCCUAGGAGUUGGAAAGUUUUUCGGUCUGGGAUGGGCCCGCGGCCUAUCAGCUUGUUGGUGAGGUAACGGCCCACCAAGGCGACGACGGGUAGCCGGCCUGAGAGGGCGACCGGCCGCACUGGGACUGAGACACGGCCCAGACUCCUACGGGAGGCAGCAGUGGGGAAUAUUGCGCAAUGGGCGAAAGCCUGACGCAGCAACGCCGCGUGAGGGAUGACGGCCUUCGGGUUGUAAACCUCUUUCAGCAGGGAAGAAGCGAAAGUGACGGUACCUGCAGAAGAAGCACCGGCUAACUACGUGCCAGCCGCCGCCGUAACAC
rnacentral:rRNA from 1 species